rnacentral:rRNA from 1 species
UACGUAGGGUGCAAGCGUUGUCCGGAAUUAUUGGGCGUAAGAGCUCGUAGGCGGUUUGUUGCGUCGGCUGUGAAAUCCCGAGCUCAACCUCGGGUCUGCAGUCGAUACGAGGCAAACUAGAGUGUUGCAGGGGAGACUGGAAUUCCUGGUGUAGCGGUGAAAUGCGACAGAUAUCAGGAGGAACACCGGUGGCGAAGGCGGAUCUCUGGGCCAUUGAACUGACG